UACGAAGGGGGCGAGCGUUGUUCGGAUUUACUGGGCGUAAAGAGCUCGUAGGUGGUUUGUCGCGUUGUCCGUGAAAACUCACAGCUUAACUGUGGGCGUGCGGGCGAUACGGGCAGACUGGAGUACUGCAGGGGAGACUGGAAUUCCUGGUGUAGCGGUGGAAUGCGCAGAUAUCAGGAGGAACACCGGUGGCGAAGGCGGGUCUCUGGGCAGUAACUGACGCUGAGGAGCGAAAGCGUGGGGAGCGAACAGG
rnacentral:rRNA from 1 species